rnacentral:rRNA from 1 species
GACGUAGGAGGCGAGCGUUGUCCGGAGUUACUGGGCGUAAAGCGCGCGCAGGCGGCCCGCGAGGUGUCACGUGAAAGCCCCGGGCUCAACUCGGGAGGGUCGUGGCAAACCGGCGGCUUGAGGCCGGUAGAGGUGGGUGGAACUCCUGGUGGAGUGGUGAAUGCGUAGAGAUCAGGAAGAACACCCGUGGCGAAGGCGGCCCACUGGGCCCGGUGCUGGACG